rnacentral:rRNA from 1 species
AGUGAACGCUGGCGGUAGGCCUAACACAUGCAAGUCGAACGGCAGCACAGUAAGAGCUUGCUCUUGCGGGUGGCGAGUGGCGGACGGGUGAGGAAUACAUCGGAAUCUACUUUUUCGUGGGGGAUAACGUAGGGAAACUUACGCUAAUACCGCAUACGACCUACGGGUGAAAGCAGGGGAUCUUCGGACCUUGCGCGAUUGAAUGAGCCGAUGUCGGAUUAGCUAGUUGGCCGGGUAAAGGCCCACCAAGGCGACGAUCCGUAGCUGGUCUGAGAGGAUGAUAGGCCACACUGGAACUGAGCCACGGUCCAGACUCCUAAGGGAGGCAGCAGUCGGGAAUAGUGGACAAUGGGCGCAAGCAUGAUCCAGCCAUACCGCGUGGGUGAAGAAGGCCUUCGGGUUGUAAAGCCCUUUUGUUGGGAAAGAACAGCAGCAGGUUAAUACCCCGCUGUUCUGACGGUACCCAAAGAAUAAGCACCGGCUAACUUCGUG